rnacentral:rRNA from 1 species
UACAGAGGUGGCAAGCGUUGUUCGGAAUUACUGGGCGUAAAGGGCUCGUAGGCGGUUUGUCGCGUCGGGAGUGAAAACCUCGGGCUUAACUCGGGGCUUGCUUUCGAUACGGGCAGACUAGAGGUAUGCAGGGGAGAACGGAACUCCUGGUGUAGCGGUGAAAUGCGCAGAUAUCAGGAGGAACACCGGUGGCGAAGGCGGUUCUCUGGAACGCAACUGACGCUGAGACGCGAAAGCGUGGGGAGCAAACAGG